CCUGGGGGUUGAGUACCUGGCCCAAGGGCUCCAUUGCUGAGGCCUCUUUUAAACGAGCUCACCUUUGGAGAGCAGAGCCAGUGAGUAUCAGCCACCCUAGAAGGCCUUCUCAGAGCCCCCAGGAGGGUCCUCGUGACUUGGGGGCCGGGACAAGAGCCGCCUGCACUCAGCGCUCAGGGAGGACGGCGGCUCCCAGCCUCCAGGGCUCACCAUGAAGGCAGCUUCUUCCCCUGACCUCUGGUCUCAGACGGCAGUGGCCUUAAACCAGACUAUGGUCCCUGGGAGUACUGGAAGAUGUGGAAAUGGGGCUGAUUUCAGAGGGAACGUGGGGCGCAUCUUUCGAAGCUGCUCGCCACUGCUUUCCCUAAGACGCCCUCGAGCUGUGACAGGGGCGCAGGGAGGGGUGUACAGGUUUGGACGUGAUCUGUGCCCUUGGUCUUGGGCAUCUCCCCCAUCCUUCCCCUAUCCCCCCGCCCCCCUCCUCAGCAGGGAUGGGCGAGGACCACAAAGAGAACCCUGGGGGGGAGGAAAGCAGAGGAAAGGGAUGGGGCCCUGGUGUUAACAGAGUGGCUUUCCGGGAGGGUAAAGAAGCCCUCAGGCAAAGGCUGGUCCCUGGAUCGGGGUGGUCCUGUGACCAUUCCCUUCCUCGGAUGAGUCCUGGGGCGGGAACACUACAAUUCCUUCUUCUUUGCCAUCAAAGCCUUGAAAACAGCAGAAGGUGGGGUUGAGGAUGAUGGAGAAUGGAUGGGUGGCAGGUCAGGGUCAACGGCAGGGGGUAGAUGGUCAUUCUUCAGGCACAGCCACCUGCUCAGCCCCACCGGCUCCCCCUUGUGCAGCUGAGGUCUCCUCCCAAGUGCGUGGGGCCAUCUCUCAUGGGGCUGCAUUUGUGGGCGUCCUCCCCACUCCAUCCCCCAGUGUAGGCUUAUUUGUCCCUUUUUCAGUGCUGGAAACGGUGCUGGGGGUCGGGGGAAGGGACUGCUGUAGGCACGUGUGCACCACUUGGGUGAGUCAAAACCCUGCGUGUGAACAGCACUGUCCAACAGCUAAGGCCAGCCACCUGAGUGAUUCUAAGUUUCCUGGGAGGCAUGCUGAUAGAAGAAAGAAGUGAAAUGAAUAAUCGGUGUUACUCAUUAUAUCCCAAAGAUAAAUACUUUCAUAUAACCAAAAGAUUAUCCUCUCGACAUGUAAUUAAAG